UUGAUAGAUGCCUGCACUCAAAUGUAAAAUAUGCAAACAUUCAAGCGAACGUAACUUUUACAUGCACAACUGUAUUUUUCCUCAUCUCAUCCAAAACUAGGAACAUUGGCAUAGGAAGACAGAAACCUCAGCUUUCAGAAUCCAAUAUACGAGGUGAAGAAGCAGUCAACACAACAAAGAAGAAAGGAGGAAAGCAAGUAGAGGAACAAGGAGGCAAAGGUCUUGCUUGACUCAUCUCUGCUGUGGUGACCUUGGAGGCUUCAUAUUCCAGAUUGCACAGCCAUAAGAUGAAAGAAGACUUCUCACUCACAUUAGACUCUGAGGUAUAAAACAACGGAAUUUAAGUGGUGAUGUGUGUCACUUCCAGUCUAGCAGGAGACUAGAACACACAAAGAGACACCAAGGAUGUGCAUGCACAGAAGAAAGACCCUGUGAGGACACAGUGAGAAGGUGACCAUCUGCACACCAAGAAGAGAGGUCUCGGAAGAAGCCAAACCUGCCUUAUCUUGGAAUUCUAGCUUUCAGCACUGUGAGAAAAUAAAAU
rnacentral:lncRNA from 10 species